rnacentral:rRNA from 1 species
AAACCAACAGGGAUUGCCUCAGUAACGGCGAGUGAAGCGGCAAAAGCUCAAAUUUGAAAUCUGGUCUUCCUGCGCGGAGGCCCGAGUUGUAAUUUGAAGAAGGGUUCUUGGAGAGGCGCCUUGUCUAUGUUCCUUGGAACAGGACGUCGCAGAGGGUGAGAAUCCCGUUUGGCGAGGUGUGCUGAUCCGUGUAAGGGCCGUUCGACGAGUCGAGUUGUUUGGGAAUGCAGCUCUAAGUGGGUGGUAAAUUCCAUCUAAAGCUAAAUAUUGGCGAGAGACCGAUAGCGAACAAGUACAGUGAUGGAAAGAUGAAAAGAACUUUGAAAAGAGAGUGAAAAAGUACGUGAAAUUGUUGAAAGGGAAGGUUAUUAGAUCAGACUUGGGCGGGAGCUAUACUUGUCCUCUUGUAGGGCAUUCACUAGCUGUCUGUUACCCGGGCCAGCAUCGAUUGGGGAUGGCGGGAAAAAGAGCGGGGGAACGUGGCUGGGCCCUCUGUGGCGCAGUGUUUAUAGCCCCUGGUUUCGCAUACCGCCUGGCUCGAUCGAGGACUGCGGCUUUCAUUAGCCUAGGAUGCUGGCGUAAUGAUCUAAUAUCGC